CAGCCGCCACGGGAACACGUAGGGUGCGAGCGUUAAUCGGAAUUACUGGGCGUAAAGCGUGCGCAGGCGGUUGUGUAAGACAGGUGUGAAAUCCCCGGGCUUAACCUGGGAACUGCGCUUGUGACUGCACAGCUAGAGUAUGGCAGAGGGGGGUGGAAUUCCACGUGUAGCAGUGAAAUGCGUAGAGAUGUGGAGGAACACCGAUGGCGAAGGCAGCCCCCUGGGCCAAUACUGACGCUCAUGCACGAAAGCGUGGGGAGCAAACAGGAUUAGAUACCCCCGUAGUCCCUGUCUCUUAUAC
rnacentral:rRNA from 1 species